GACGAACGCUCGCGGCGUGCUUAACACAUGCAAGUCGAACGGAAAGGCCCUGCUUUUGUGGGGGGCUCGAGUGGCGAACGGGUGAGUAACACGUGAGUAACCUGCCCUUGACUUUGGGAUAACUUCAGGAAACUGGGGCUAAUACCGGAUAGGAGCUCCUGCUGCAUGGUGGGGGUUGGAAAGUUUCGGCGGUUGGGGAUGGACUCGCGGCUUAUCAGCUUGUUGGUGGGGUAGUGGCUUACCAAGGCUUUGACGGGUAGCCGGCCUGAGAGGGUGACCGGCCACAUUGGGACUGAGAUACGGCCCAGACUCCUACGGGAGGCAGCAGUGGGGAAUAUUGCACAAUGGGCGGAAGCCUGAUGCAGCAACGCCGCGUGCGGGAUGACGGCCUUCGGGUUGUAAACCGCUUUCGCCUGUGACGAAGCGUGAGUGACGGUAAUGGGUAAAGAAGCACCGGCUAACUACGUG
rnacentral:rRNA from 1 species